rnacentral:rRNA from 1 species
CCUACGGGAGGCAGCAGUGGGGAAUAUUGGACAAUGGGCGCAAGCCUGAUCCAGCAAUGCCGCGUGAGUGAUGAAGGCCUUAGGGUCGUAAAGCUCUUUUACCAGGGAUGAUAAUGACAGUACCUGGAGAAUAAGCUCCGGCUAACUCCGUGCCAGCAGCCGCGGUAAUACGGAGGGAGCUAGCGUUGUUCGGAAUUACUGGGCGUAAAGCGUACGUAGGCGGUUAUUCAAGUCAGAGGUGAAAGCCCGGGGCUCAACCCCGGAACGGCCUUUGAAACUAGGUAGCUAGAAUCUUGGAGAGGUCAGUGGAAUUCCGAGUGUAGAGGUGAAAUUCGUAGAUAUUCGGAAGAACACCAGUGGCGAAGGCGACUGACUGGACAAGUAUUGACGCUGAGGUACGAAAGCGUGGGGAGCAAACAGGAUUAGAUACCCUGGUAGUCCACGCCGUAAACGAUGAUAACUAGCUGUCCGGGCACUUGGUGCCUGGGUGGCGCNGCUACGCAUUAAGUUAUCCGUCCGUGGGAGGUACGGUCGCGAGAGUAAACUACAAAGAAGUAGUAGUAACGUGUGAGAGUCGACGACGACGACGAGGAGGAGGAG